rnacentral:misc_RNA from 1 species
GAUGAAGAACGCAGCGAAAUGCGAUAAGUAAUGUGAAUUGCAGAAUUCAGUGAAUCAUCGAAUCUUUGAACGCACAUUGCGCCCGCCAGUAUUCUGGCGGGCAUGCCUGUUCGAGCGUCAUUACAACCCUCAGGCCCCCGGGCCUGGCGUUGGGGAUCGGCGGAGCCCCCCGUGGGCACACGCCGUCCCCCAAAUACAGUGGCGGUCCCGCCGCAGCUUCCAUCGCGUAGUAGCUAACACCUCGCGACUGGAGAGCGGCGCGGCCACGCCGUAAAACACCCAACUCUUCUGAAGUUGACCUCGAAUCAGGUAGGAAUACCCGCUGAACUUAAGCAUAUCGAUAAGCGGAGGA